rnacentral:rRNA from 1 species
CCCUUAGAUGUUCUGGGCUGCACGCGUGCUACAAUGGCGCUUGCAACAAGUCUUGCCAACCCGAUAGGGUGAGCGGAUCUUUGAAGAGGCGUCGUGCUCGGGACAGUUGAUUGCAAUUAUUCGACUCGAACGAGGAAUUCCUUGUAAUCGCGAUUCAUCAUAUCGCGCUGAAUACGUCCCUGCCCUUUGUACACACCGCCCGUCGCUCCUACCGAUUGAGCGAUCCGGUGAAUGUUUUGGACUGGCGUCAGAAGCGGUUCGCUCCUGACACUACGAAAUUUUGUAAACCUUAUCGCUUAGAGGAAGGAAAAGUCGUAACA